rnacentral:rRNA from 1 species
CGGGGUGCACCAGGCGCGAAAACUUUGCAAUACACGAAAGUGUGACAGGGUCAUCCCGAGUGCCGACCGCUGAGGUUGGCUUUUACCCAGUCUAGAAAGCUGGGGGAAUAAGGAGAGGGCAAGUCUGGUGUCAGCCGCCGCGGUAAUACCAGCUCUCCGAGUGGUGUGGACGUUUAUUGGGCCUAAAGCAUCCGUAGCUGGCUGAACAAGUCCCCUGUUAAACCCACCGAUUUAAUCGUUGGUCUGCGGGGGAUACUGCUCGGCUAGGGGACGAGAGAGGCAGGCGGUAUUCUCGGGGUAGGGGUGAAAUCCUAUAAUCCCGGGAAGACCACCAGUGGCGAAGGCUGCCUGCUAGAGCGCGCCCGACGGUGAGGGAUGAAAGCUGGGGGAGCGAACCGGAUUAGAUACCCGGGUAGUCCCAGCUGUAAACGAUGCAGACUAGGUGUUUGGACGGCCACGUGCCGUUCUAGUGCCGCAGGGAAGCUGUUAAGUCUGCCGCCUGGGGAGUACGAUCGCAAGAUUGAAACUUAAAGGAAUUGGCGGGGGAGCACAAGGGCGAAUCGC